AUGAUUCGAGCGGCGGAUAAGGCACCUGGGCCUGAUGGAUUCACGGGACUAUUGUUCCAAAAGUGUUGGACGUUGAUCAAAGAUGACCUUAUGAGGGCGAUCAAAUUUUUUAGUAAUCUGAACAUGGCCAAUCUUCAAGCUCCGAAUACUGCAACCCUCAUUCUGAUUCCAAAGGUGGAGGGAGCCACAAAGUUGACUGAAUUUCGGCCAAUUAGCCUAAUCCACAGUAUCGCCAAGAUCCUUGCAAGGCGGUUGCAGCCGUUGAUGCACGACCUUGUCUCUUCGUGCCAGAGCGCAUUCAUCAAAAAGAGGUCCAUCUUGGAUAACUUCAUGUAUGUUCAAGCUAUGAUCAAGACUCUGAAAAUGAAAAAAACGCCGGCGCUGCUCCUCAAGGUCGAAUUGAAGGCCUUUGAAGGUCUCUCUUGGGAGUUUCUUCUCGAGUUGAUGUGCGCAAGGGGUGUCGGGGCCAGAUGGAGGAAUUGGAUCGCUGGGCUGCUGUCCACCUCCAGUACCAAGCUCAACAUAAACGGCGACCUCUCGGACACCAUCUGUCAUCACCGAGGACUGCGACAGGGGGAUCCCUGUCUCCUUUGCUAUUCGUCCUAG
rnacentral:rRNA from 1 species